rnacentral:lncRNA from 8 species
AUGUGUCUGUCUAUCCCUGUUCUCUCCUCUCUGCACAGGCCACACAAACGCUUCACACCUCAUGGCCGCUGCCACUCUAACCUGGUGGUCCCAGCGCGCAUGACCCACUUGGAGUUCCAGGUCUCCGGCAGCCUCUGGAACUGCCGGUCUGCGGCCAACAAGGCAGAGUUCAUCUCAGCCUAUGCUACCCUCCAGUCCAUCGACUUCUUGGCGCUGACGGAAACAUGGAUUACCACAGAAAACACUGCUACUCCUACUGCUCUCUCCUCGUCUGACCACGUGUUCUCGCAUACCCCGAGAGCAUCUGGUCAGCGGGGAGGUGGCACUGGAAUCCUCAUCUCUCCCAAGUGGACAUUCUCUCUUUCUCCCCUGACCCAUCUGUCUAUCUCCUCCUUUGAAUGCCAUGCUGUCACAGUCACUAGCCCAUUCAAGCUUAACAUCCUUAUCAUUUAUCACCCUCCAGGUUCCCUUGGAGAGUUCAUCAAUGAGCUUGACGCCUUGAUAAGUUCCUUCCCUGAGGAUGGCUCACCCCUCAGAAGUCUGGGUGACUUUAACCUCCCUACGUCUACCUUUGACUCAUUUCUCUCUGCCUCCUUCUUUCCACUCCUCUCCUCUUUUGACCUCACCCUCUCACCGCCCCCCCUACUCACAAGGCAGGCAAUACGCUUGACCUCAUCUUUACUAGAUGCUGUUCUUCUACUAAUCUCACUGCAACUCCCCUCCAAGUCUCCGACCACUACCUUCUAUCCUUUUCCCUCUCACUCUCUUUCAACACUACUCACUCUGCCCCUACUCAGAUGGUAUUACGCCGUCGCAACCUUCGCUCUCUCUCUCCUGCUACUCUCUCGUCUUCCAUCCUAUCAUCUCUUCCCUCUGCUCAAUCCUUUUCCAACCAAUCUCCUGAUUCUGCCUCCUCAACCCUCCUCUCCUCUCUUUCUGCAUCCUUUGACUCUCUAUGUCCCCUGUCCUCCCGGCCGGCUCGGUCCUCCCCUCCUGCUCCAUGGCUCGACGACUCAUUGCGAGCUCACAGAACAGGGCUCCGGGCAGCCGAGCGGAAAUGGAGGAAAACUAGCCUCCCUGCGGACCUGGCAUCUUUUCACUCCCUCCUCUCCACAUUUUCUUUCUCUGUUUCUGCUGCUAAAGCCACUUUCAACCACCCUAAAUUCCAAGCAUCUGCCCCUAACCCUAGGAAGCUCUUUGCCACCUUCUCCUCCCUCCUGA